rnacentral:lncRNA from 1 species
CCAUAUUUGGUAGCAAAGGCAGGGGCUAAACUUAUCUUAGCUGUUGCCCACAAUUUAUGAAGAGAUAAUCCAGUUCAUAGGAAAUGAGGUACUUCAAGUAUUUGAGGAAUGGCAAGUAUUUCUUUGUCAGCAUUGAUUCAGCUUCAAAUACGUCUCCUACUGAUCUCUGGACUACCGCUCUACGCCGCAUUGAUCCAUGCAGGAAUAAUUGUAAAGAGUUUCCAGGAUUUCUUUUACUAUCAGAAAAACAACACCCUGGAAUCACUUUGCCUGUGGUUUAUAGUGAAAACAGCCGUCUGAGCAUUUUGAGCCAAUAGCUUUGGAUAAGCACUUGUCCCAACUACCUGCUUCUGGCUUUGUUUUGCCUAAAGCUGUGAAAAAUAUUAUUCAAACACAAGAUGGCAAACUGAAGAAUGAAAAAUCAACAUGUAUCAAAUGAUGAAGGGGAAAGAUGGAAGAAGCCUGGGUUCUUGAUGGCAUCAUUGAACCCUCCAUGCAAGGCCAGCAACCAAGCUGUCAUUAACUAAAGCUAGAUGCAUUAUUAUGUUCAAGGAAUGAACCCUUAUCUGAUUAAAUUACUGCCAUCUAGGUUUUCUGUUACCUGCAGAUGAGCCAUCCUGAUGCUCAAUAUCAUAGAAUUAUUCUGAAAGUUAAAUGAAAUAAUGCAUGCAUAAUUGCUUAAAUAACUACAGAUAUACUGUUUAAAGAGGUAACACAGGGCAAUGGAAAAGGCAUUGGACUUGAACUCUGACUAAUUUAGCCUGGAAUCCUAGAAAGUCACCUUAUUAGACCUUCUUCAUAGGAAAAUGUAAACAAUCUCUGUGUGUCAGUUGUGUCAUCUCUAAAAUGGAAAUAAUUAGCAUCUUGGAGGAUUGUUGUAAAGGGUAAGGGAGAUAAGAUAUGGGAAAGCUCAUGGCAUAGGGCUUGAUACAUGUUAUUCAAUAAACAUAAGUUAGGGAGAAAAAUUAGCAAGUAGCAGUGUGGUCUGCCCCAAGUGAACACACUUCCUUUAUCUGAGUCAGAUUACACUGCCCCUUGAACCUUUACAACACUAAACAAAAUUUAGAGCACUAGGAGAUACUUCAGAGUGUCCUAUUAAUAAAAGUAGUGGAAGGAUAGUUUUUUUUUUUCUAAUUCUGUGAAGAACAUUAAUGGUAGUUUAAUGGGACUGGCAUUGAAUCUAUAGAUUACUUUGAAAAGUAUGGCCAUUUUCACAAUAUUGAUUCUUCCUAUCCAUGAGCAUGGAAUGUUUUUCCUUUUGUUUGUGUCCUCUCUGAUUUCUUUGAGGAUCAGUUUGUAGUUCUCUUUGAAGAGGUUCCUCACUUUCCUUCUCAGCUGUAUUCCUAGGUAUCUUUUUUUUUUGUAGCAAUUGUGAAUGGGAGUUCAUUCAUGAUUCAUCUCUCUGCUUGCCUAUUGAUGGUGUAUAGGAAUGCUAGAGAUUUUGCACAUUGAUUUUGUAUCCUGAGGCUUUGCUGAAGUUGCUUCUCAGCUUAAGAAGCUUUUGGGCUGAGAAAAUGGGGUUUUUUUAGGUAUAGGAUCACGCCAUCUGUAAACAAAGAUAAUUUGACUUCCUCUCUUUCUAUUUACCCUUUAUUUCUUUAUCUUGUCUGAUUGCCCUGGCCAGAACUUCCAAUACUAUAUUGAAUAAGAGUGGUAAAAGAGGGCAUUCUUGUCUUCUACCACUUUAAAAGCCAUAUGGAACCAAAAAUGAGCCCAAAUAGCCAAGACAAUCCUAAACAAAAAGAACAAACCUGGAGGCACCAUACUACCCAACUUCGAACUAUGCUACAAGGUUAUAGUAACCAAAACAGCAUGAUACUGGUACAAAAACAGGCACAUAGACCAAAGGAAUGAAAAGAGAACUCAGAAAUAAGACUGCACACCUACAACCAUCUGAUCUUCAACAAACCUGACAAAAACAAGCAAUGGGAAAAGAACUCUUUAUUUAAUAAAUGAUACUGGGAGAACUGGUUAGCCAUACACAGAAAAUUGAAAUUGGACCCCUUCCUUACACCUUAUACAGAAAUUAACUCAAGAUGAAUUGAAGACUUAAAUGUUGAUAUGGUUUGGCUCUGGAUCCCCACCCAAAUCUCACCUUGAAUUGUAAUCUCCAUAAUCCCCACAUGUCAAGGGCAGGACAGGGUGGAGGUAAUUGGAUCAGGGUGGUGGUUUCCCCCAUGCUGUUCUCAUGAUAAUGAGUGAGUUCUCAUGAGAUCUGAUGGUUUUAUAAGGGGCUCUUUUCCCUUUGCUUAACACUUCUCCUUCCUUCCACCUUGUGAGGAAACUGCUUUGCUUCCCCUUUACCUUCUGCCAUGAUUGUAAGUUUCCUGAGGCUUUCCCAGCCAUGCUGAACUGUGAGUUAAUUAAACCUCUUUCAUUUCUAUUAAUAAAUACCCAGUCUCAGCAAUUCUAUAGUAAUAUGGAAACAGACUAAUACAAAUUUAAAACCCAAAACUAUAAAAACCCUAGAAGAAAAUCUAGGCAAUACCUUUCAGGCAAAGAUUUUGUUACGAAAAUGCAAAAAGCAAUUGCAACAAAAGCAAAAAUUGACAAAUGGGAUCUAAUUAAAUAAACGAAUUUUGCAGAGCAAAAGAAACUAUCAUCAGAGUGAACAAAGUACAGAAUUGGAGAAAAUUUUUACAAUCUAUCCAUCUGACAAAGGUAUAAUAUCCAGAGUCUACAAGGAACUUAAUCAAACUACAGGAAAAACACAAACAACCCCAUUAAAAAGUGGGCAAAGGAUAUGAACAGACACUUCUCAAAAGAAGACAUACAUGGAGGAGCAAACACGAAAAAAAGCUCAACAUCACUGAUCAUUAGAAAAAUGCAAAUCAGAACCACAAUGAGAUACUAUCUCACGCCAGUGAGAAUGGCGAUUAUUAAAAAGUCCAAAAAUAAUAGAUGCUGGCAAUGUUGUGGAGAAAAAGAAAUGCUUUUACACUGUUAGUGGGAGUGUAAAUUAGUUCAGCCAUUGUGGAAGACAGUGUGGCAAUUCCUCAAAGACUUAGAGGCAGAAAUACCAUUUGACCCAGCAAUCCCAUUACUGGGUAUACACCCAAAGGAAUAUAAAUCAUCCUAUUAUAAAGAUGCAUACACAGGCAUGCUCAUUGCAGCACUCUUUACAGCAGCAAAGACAGGGAAUCAACCUAAAAGCCCAUCAAUGAUAGACUGGAAAAAGAAAAUGUGGUACACAUACACCACAGAAUACUAUGCAGCCAUAAAAAGGAACAAGAUUUUGUUCUAUGCAGGGACAUGGAUGUAACUGGAAGCUGUUAUCCUCAGCAAACUAAUGCAAGAAAAGAAAACCAAACACUCCAUGUUCUCACUUAUAAGUGGGAGCUGAAUGAUGAGAACACAUGGAUAAAUCAGGGGGAACGACACACACUGGGGGCCAUUGGUGGUGGGAUUAGGGGGAGGGAGGGCAUCAGGAAAAAUAGGUCAUGGAUGCUGGGGUUGAUACCUACGUGAUAGGAUGAUCUGUGCAGCAAACCACCAUGGCUCACGUUUUACCUGUGUAACAAA